rnacentral:rRNA from 1 species
UACGAAGGGGGCUAGCGUUGCUCGGAAUUACUGGGCGUAAAGGGAGCGUAGGCGGAUAGUUUAGUCAGAGGUGAAAUCCCGGGGCUCAACCUCGGAACUGCCUUUGAUACUGGCUAUCUUGAGUAUGGGAGAGGUGUGUGGAACUCCGAGUGUAGAGGUGAAAUUCGUAGAUAUUCGGAAGAACACCAGUGGCGAAGGCGACACACUG